UACGUAGGGGGGCAAGCGUUGUCCGGAUUUAUUGGGCGUAAAGAGCGUGUAGGCGGCCAUGCAGGUCAGCUGUGAAAACUCGAGGCUCAACCUCGAGACGUCGGUUGAAACCGUAUGGCUAGAGUCCGGAAGAGGAGAGUGGAAUUCCCGGGUGUAGCGGUGAAAUGCGCAGAUAUCGGGAAGAACACCCAUGGCGAAGGCAGCUCUCUGGGACGGUACUGGACGCUGAGACGCGAAAGCGUGGGGAGCAAACAGGG
rnacentral:rRNA from 1 species